UACGAAGGAUGCAAGCGUUAUCCGGAUUCACUGGGUUUAAAGGGUGUGCAGGUGGGGUAAUAAGUCAGUGGUGAAAGCCCCCGACUCAAUCGGGGAACUGCCAUAGAUACUGUUAUUCUUGAGUGUAGUUGAGGCGGAUGGAAUAUGACAUGUAGCGGUGAAAUGCUUAGAUAUGUCAUAGAACACCGAUCGCGAAGGCAGUCCGCCAAACUAUUACUGACACUGAAACACGAAAGUGCGGGGAUCAAACAGGAUUAGAUACCCUGGUAGUCCGCACCGUAAACGAUGAUCACUCGUUGUUGGCGAUACACAGUCAGCGACUAAGCGAAAGCAUUAAGUGAUCCACCUGGGAAGUACGACCGCAAGGUUGAA
rnacentral:rRNA from 1 species